UUUCAGCUAUGUAUAGAAUGCUUUAAAGUUUUACGUUCUAAAUAAUUUUUAAAUUAAUUUUUAAACCAUUUUCGCAUUACUUUUAUAACAAUUCAACAGUUUUAUUAUUAUUUUCCAUUACACUGAUACACUCAGAAUUGCGUUGAUUGGAAACCUCAGGCAGUGGAGGAACCGAUUACCCGCCCGCAUCAGGCGCAUCCUCGCAGCAGUCGAUGACUCUAAUCCGGAAAAGCUAAUGAAAAAAGCAGCAAAGGAAAAAGCAGCAAAACGCUGAAAUGAACGAAUGGCUCGCCUUUCUCAACGUAUUAAAAGACAAUGUGAACCAAAUUUGAGGUGUAGUGUUAGUAGUUUGUUAGUGAUAGUGCUACUGCUGGCUGUGGAUGUCGCUGAUGGGGUACUGCUGCUUUUCUUCUGAUUUUUGUGUCGCGGAAGAAAAAUUGGAAUACGGUCGCCGGAAUUUGAACCCAGAUCCCGAACACGUUCGUAACCUAAGGCGCUAACCACUGCGCUGCCGUCGUCCGACUCUAGUUGGUGUCGAGUGCCGCUACAGAACGAUGAGAUGCACACUCACACGAACAGAGAAAUAUCUCUCUCAUUAUGUCGCUGCUAGGCGGAUGUGUCAAAGAAGCUUUUAUGCUCGUCUGCAAUCUUCGUAACGAAAAUGGCUCGACAAUAUGUUUAGCCAACGAACUGAAACCGCUUUUACAAAACGAUUACGUAAUGACUUAAACGUGUCAUUAUAUCAUAAUAGUAUCGUAGUAUAAUAGCUGGAAAGGAACGAUACCAGAUCUUAUAAUAGAUCUCUGUGUCCAUUGAUCGAUUUGUUUGUAACUAUUGAACGUGGAAAGGAGGGAAGACAAAUAUGUCAAAUAGAUUACAAUUAAUAAUUAAAAAGACAGUUAAGCAAUCGUACACUCUGUUGUUCUUGAUAAAUAAUUGUAAGUGAAAGUUUUAAACUUGUACUCGCGGAAUGCAAACUUUUUUUCGUAAAGGAACAUUUCUAAAAGUGAAAUUAUUACCCCGUGUCGCCAAGUUUAUUUAACAAUUGUAAUAUUUUUUAAUAUAGAAUACAAUGGACUAUGCCAGAACUAAUUAAAUCAACCGUUGAUAGUUCAAUGAUCAUCGUCAGUGAUCGUUCAACUAAUUUGUAGUUGAAACUAAUUGGUUUGAGCACGUUUUAGCACACGUAAAAAUAUAGAUAUAUGUAUACAUUGUACAUGUACAUAGACAAGUAGGAAUAAUCUGCUCCAAAUCUACAAAUCCAGAAUAAGACUACUAGCCAAUACACGGAUUUAAAUGGCGACGUUUUAAUCCAAAAUAGAAAAUGCGAGUAAAAGUGUAUACCGAUAUAAUAAACUGGUUUCGUGGAGACAACAAACGAGCACCAGAUUUUCUGGCAGACAUUGGUUUAUACAAAUUGCUAUAGAUUCCUUUCGUCCCACUGAUCAUUCUUAACGUAAUUAGUAGCUGUAAAAGGUGCGCGUAAUCCUAAAAACGUAAUUAAAAAGAAAAAUACCAAACGAAAGUGAUAAUGAAGAAGUUUUUGUUUUAAUGAAGCCUUUUUGUAAAAGAUUUCGAUGGUUCGAAGUACAAGAAAAUAUUCUUCAUAAAUAUUUAAAGAAGUUGUCUAAACUUUAAUAUGUAUUUGAAUACAUGAAAUAAUAAAUAAUAAGGUAUAAUAAGAAAUAAUAAAUCAAUAGGAUCGACGUACCACGUUUCUCACACGAUACUGUAGGUUAAGGGGUUAACGUGGUUCCUAAUAACCAUAAAAGGUGCAUGUGACCUUAAGCAUGCAAUUUAGAAGAAAAACAGCAAACGAAAGUGACGAUGAAGAGGUCCUUUUUUGUAAUAGAUUUCGAUAGUUCAAAGUAAAAAAAGAGAUUCUUCUGUAUGCAGAAUUAUGUGAUUCAGCAGCCAACAAGAUAUGGGAUUCAUAAAUAUUUAAAGAAUUUAUCAAUUAAUCUUAAUCUGUAUUUGAAUAAAUGAAAUUCUACAUCGGGAAAA